CGCGUAUCCAACCUUCCCAUAACUACGGGAUAACCCGUUGAAAGACGGCCUAAUACCGUAUGACAUCGUUUGCUGACAUCAAAUAACGAUAAAAGGUUUAGCGGUUAUGGAUGGGGAUGCGUCUGAUUAGCUUGUUGGCGGGGUAACGGCCCACCAAGGCUACGAUCAGUAGGGGUUCUGAGAGGAAGGUCCCCACAUUGGAACUGAGACACGGUCCAAACUCCUACGGGAGGCAGCAGUGAGGAAUAUUGGUCAAUGGGCGAGAGCCUGAACCAGCCAAGUAGCGUGCAGGAUGACGGCCCUAUGGGUUGUAAACUGCUUUUAUGUGGGAAUAAAGUGCGUGACGUGUCAUGCAUUGCAGGUACCACAUGAAUAAGGACCGGCUAAUUCCCGUGCCAGCAGCCGCGGUAAAU
rnacentral:rRNA from 1 species